UACGGAGGGUGCUAGCGUUGUUCGGAAUCACUGGGCGUAAAGGGCGUGUAGGCGGUCUGUUAAGUCUGAUGUGAAAUCCCCUCGCUUAACGAGGGAACUGCGUCGGAUACUGGCAGACUCGAGUACCGGAGAGGAAGGUGGAAUUCCCGGUGUAGCGGUGAAAUGCGCAGAUAUCGGGAGGAACACCAGUAGCGAAGGCGGCUCGCUGGGCCAUUCCUGACGCUGAGACGCGAAAGCUAGGGGAGCGAACAGG
rnacentral:rRNA from 1 species